AGCGAUCCAAACACACGUGCCUCAGAGGAAUGAGAGAUCUUGAAACCGUAGGACCCAAUCCAAGUGCUGGUGGUCACAGCUGGAGACUUUAUGAUGUCUUUGAUGGAUUCUGAAGAAGACUGAGUAGAUUUUGGUACAUCUUCAAUCACAUUGGUUGUUGGCACAAACAUUCCCAGCCUAAGCCAGAGAGGAAACCGGAG